rnacentral:rRNA from 1 species
AUACGUAUGGGGCAAGCGUUAUCCGGAUUUAUUGGGCGUAAAGCGCGCGUAGGCGGCUUGUUAAGUCAGGUGUGAAAUCCGGGGGCUCAACCCGCGGCUUGCACCUGAAACUGGCAGGCUUGAGUCUGGUAGAGGGAAGGGGAAUUCCUGGUGUAGCGGUGAAAUGCGCAGAUAUCAGGAGGAACACCAGUGGCGAAGGCGGCUUUCUGGGCCACGACUGACGCUGAGGCGCGAAAGCUAGGGGAGCGAACAGGAUUAGAUACCCUGGUAGUCCUAGCCGUAAACGAUGGGCACUAGGUGUGGGGGGUCAUCGACUCCCUCCGUGCCGAAGCUAACGCAUUAAGUGCCCCGCCUGGGGAGUACGGCCGCAAGGCUAAAACUCAAAUGAAUUGACGGGG